rnacentral:misc_RNA from 1 species
UUUAACCGGUAGAAAUUUUGAUGUUUAACGAGCUGAAGGUAAUUUUAGUUGGUCAACGAUAUCUGAGUGCUCCCCUCCAUUCGUCACAUAGCUCAACAUCCGUUAAUUUUCAAAAGAAAAAGCGUACACGCCGCCGUCAAGAUCGUGAUUUUCUCUAAUUUUCUGACAUCGCUGAGUGAUUUUGGUGGAGAUUUUGUUGUUCCAUCGGACGAGUAUUCCAGUAAGGAUAGAGUGUAACGCCAUGGCGCCUAAUAAUAUUUACUACUCGGAUAAAUACUACGACGACAAAUAUGAGUACAGGCAUGUUGUCCUCCCAAAAGAGUUGGUCAAAUUGGUGCCAAGGACCCACCUUAUGUCUGAAAAUGAGUGGAGAGCCAUUGGAGUGCAGCAGAGUCAGGGAUGGGUGCACUACAUGACUCAUCAGCCUGAACCACAUAUUCUAUUGUUCAAACGAAAAAUAACAUCGCCACCACCAGAGCAGUAAUUGUUUCACAGAAGCUGUGCCGAGCUGUGCUCGAUGCAUGGGAUUGGGAUCAUUGUUGAUUUCAAGAAGAGCUCUUCUCUGAUGAAUGACAAUAGUAAAAAGCUAAUGGGACUAAAGACAAGAUGUACGUGCAUACCAAACAAUUGUGGCUGCAGAAAUAACUAGAUGUACGACACAGCUCUUCUUUACCCUUCUAAUUUACUUCGAAUCGGUCAUUGGUAUGGUGCCGUAAGAAGUAGCUUGUAUAUAUGUCUAUAGUGUGUUCUAGUUCUUAAUUCCACGUUCAGUAAAAACGUUAAACCCAUACAAAGGCUAAAUAACAUGCACAACCUACUGCUCGGUCUCAUCGAUCUGAUUUAUUUCUGAAGAUGGAAGUAAUAUUAAUCUUGUUUAUGGAAUGAGGCGUGCUCGUAUGCAGAACUUUAAAGAAACGGUUACACUCCUUGAGUUACCGUGAUUCAAUGUUAAUUCUCCGAUACAAGAUAAUGAAUGGUUUUCACUACACAAGAUUUUGUGAUUUCAAGUGCCUUAUUAUUGUAAAUCAAUCGUUAUCGUGCUUACAUUAGGUUAAUUUUUUUAUUUUUAACAUAACUAAACUUAUUAUUCAUAUCUAUCUUGGUAAUGCUACUAGACUAAUAGUAAAUCAUAUGUACCUAACUUCGGAAAUAUUAGAUUAGCAUAUCCUCGUCUCUGAAAUGCGGUAAAGAUUUCACUCUAUUGUUGAAGCCACUCUGACAAAGAAAUUCGACUGACUUCUCCAUUCAGGUUGAAAGAAAUUACCUCGAUAAUAAUGAAUUUCACACUACUGAAAAUUAACCAAUUUUUAGUUCGUUAAUCAAUUUUCUAGUGGCGAAAUGCUCUUGAUUUUCCAAUGUCACUUCGGUGGUUGAUUAAUUUUUUUAUACCGCUGUUGGUUUUUUUUCCUCUUAAUUUAACCUGUAUUU